UACGUAGGUGGCGAGCGUUGUCCGGAUUUACUGGGCGUAGAGGGCGUGCAGGCGGUUUGUUAAGUGCAGGGUGAAAGCUCCCGGCUCAACUGGGAGAGGUCCUUGCAUACUGGCGAACUCGAGGGAGGCAGAGGAAAGUGGAAUUCCCGGUGUAGUGGUGAUAUGCGUAGAUAUCGGGAGGAACACCUGUGGCGAAGGCGGCUUUCUGGGCCUUACCUGACGCUGAGACGCGAAAGCGUGGGGAGCGAACCGG
rnacentral:rRNA from 1 species